rnacentral:lncRNA from 1 species
CAACUAGCUUAUUGCUAGUCUCUAGCAAUUAACGAGCAAAUAAUAAAAUGAGAGUACAAAAGGUGUGGUUUAACCUUUGACUUUUUAUUGAAGCUAAAGACAUAAAACUAAGAUAUGUACUCACUUUCGUAGGAAUCACGAUUGCACUUAGCACGUGCAACAAGCCGUUAAAUCCCUAAGUUACCCUAGUGGACGAGUGUUGUCUCGUGAGGGUUUUCA